rnacentral:rRNA from 1 species
AGCGAACGCUGGCGGCAGGCUUAACACAUGCAAGUCGAGCGGGCCCUUCGGGGUCAGCGGCAGACGGGUGAGUAACACGUGGGAACGUACCCUUUGGUUCGGAAUAACGCUGGGAAACUAGCGCUAAUACCGGAUACGCCCUUUUGGGGAAAGGCUUGCUGCCGGAGGAUCGGCCCGCGUCUGAUUAGCUAGUUGGUGGGGUAAUGGCCUACCAAGGCGACGAUCAGUAGCUGGUCUGAGAGGAUGAUCAGCCACACUGGGACUGAGACACGGCCCAGACUCCUACGGGAGGCAGCAGUGGGGAAUAUUGGACAAUGGGCGCAAGCCUGAUCCAGCCAUGCCGCGUGAGUGAUGAAGGCCUUAGGGUUGUAAAGCUCUUUUGUCCGGGACGAUAAUGACGGUACCGGAAGAAUAAGCCCCGGCUAACUUCGUG